rnacentral:rRNA from 1 species
UACGAAGGGGGCGAGCGUUGUUCGGAAUUACUGGGCGUAAAGGGCGCGUAGGCGGCCGAUCAAGUCAGAUGUGAAAGUCCUGGGCUUAACCUGGGGACUGCAUUUGAUACUGAUUGGCUUGAAUGCAGGAGAGGAUAGCGGAAUUCCCAGUGUAGAGGUGAAAUUCGUAGAUAUUGGGAAGAACACCGGUGGCGAAGGCGGCUAUCUGGACUGUGAUUGACGGCUGGAGGCGCGAAAAGCGUGGGGAGCAAACAGG